CUACGUGCCAGCAGCCGCGGUAAUACGUAGGUGGCAAGCGUUGUCCGGAAUUAUUGGGCGUAAAGCGCGCGCAGGCGGAUUGGUCAGUCUGUCUUAAAAGUUCGGGGCUUAACCCCGUGAUGGGAUGGAAACUGCCAAUCUAGAGUAUCGGAGAGGAAAGUGGAAUUCCUAGUGUAGCGGUGAAAUGCGUAGAUAUUAGGAAGAACACCAGUGGCGAAGGCGGCUCUCUGGCUUGUAACUGACGCUGAGGCUCGAAAGCGUGGGGAGCAAACAGGAUUAGAUACCCUGGUAGUCCACGCUGUAAACGAUGAGUGCUAGGUGUUAGACCCUUUCCGGGGUUUAGUGCCGCAGCUAACGCAUUAAGCACUCCGCCUGGGGAGUACGACCGCAAGGUUGAAACUCAAAGGAAUUGACGGGGGCCCGCACAAGCGGUGGAGUAUGUGGUUUAAUUCGAAGCAACGCGAAGAACCUUACCAGGUCUUGACAUCCC
rnacentral:rRNA from 1 species